UAACAUGGUUUAAAGCACAUGUCAUAAAAAGCACUUUAAUAUCACGUCUUGGGGGACUGGGUUUCUUGCUUUUAGAAGCCGCUGUGCAGUUGCACGGGUCAAAUGUGAGACCUGCUUGGCUGGCUUGUCUCAUGCAGCUAGUGGUGUUCCCUGCGUGACAUUUAGCAGCAUUUUCCAGGCCUCCCCAGUGGUUGCUUUUUGCCAAACUGUUUUAUGUGGAAGGUGGGUAGGAUUUUAUGAGAAGUGAAAGAGCACUGAUAAGACAAAAGCUGAGGUUCCAGUGAGCCCCUCUCACUUAUUGAAGCCAACUGAUGGAGUGGGGAGAGGAGGAGGGUUAACACGAUCUGGUGGGAAAGCAGAGAGCAGAGAAAGCACUUCAAAGAGGAGGCUGAGCAGGGGUCAGCAGCAGUGUCAGGUCCAAAGAGGAAUGGAAAGGGGAAAACCUGAACUCCGUGCGCCUCUCCUGACAAAGAGAGCAGUGUCAGGCACUAGAGGGAAGAGUGGAGGUCGGCUAAAAUGGACUCACAGGAGGGAAACAGAGGCUGGAAAAAUCUGGGAAAUAGGAAUUCAUUGUGACAGAAGAGAAAGCAGAGUAUCUCAUGAAAAAUCAAUCAAAGCUCUCCUGUUGUAUUUUGGUUUUUGAGUUUGCAGGAACAAGGUAGGAGCAGAGCUCCAGAAAGGGAGUGGGAGCGUGCACAUCUUGCAAGAGGAGAUGCGAGGCUGAGUUUUAGCAUAGCUCAUUCUUCAGACGACUCUUUCAUGCAGAGGUCGUAUUUGAACCUUUUGUUGUUGUUGGCUCUAGGACUGAGGACCUGAUUCUGACUGGGGUGAAUGUUCCCUUUUCUGUCAUUCAGUACCAACAUAAAAUAAAGCUGCAGGAUAGAUCCUUGAUUCUUUAUUCACGUACAGCCAAAGCAAAUCAAUAAAACAUACUCAAAGACCCACUUGGGAUUAUAGAUGCUAUACAGCCUGCCAGAAUAUUAAGUGUUACCAUAGUAUAUUGUUUGAAGAUGUUUGGGUGUGAAGCAACCGUGUCCUAUGGCAGUAAAUAGUCACGUAAGAGUUAGAAAGAUAACUAUUAUAAAAUGUCCCUAAUAAUAUUGUCUUGUCUAAGGAUGGAGACAAAGCAGUCACAAACUAAAAACAGCGCAAGAAGGAUGGAUUGCAGUUGCUUCAGUGUGCAUUAUAUUCAGUUCCUGGGGAAAAUAAACAGAAAUGUUUCAGAAAUUUGAAGAUUGGUGAACUGGGGAGGCAUGGAUCAUUACACAAGUAAAAAAAAUAUACAGGGAUGUGGAAAGCUGGAAAGUUGGACAGAGAGGAUUAAAUUAUAUUGCAUGGAGGAGAGCCAGGAUUAUCUCCCGUUCCUAGGUGAAAGAACUGCUCUCCAGUACCUGCAAACAACCAUAAGCAAUAUCACCACUGUAUAGGUCACAGAGGAGCUGGACGCAGGAGUCAGAAGCGUCUAAACUGCUGCAGCUUCAAACACCUCUCAUUCUAGAAGGAUUAAGAAGUCCAACAAAGAACAGUACUCAAACAACGCUUCGUGUGGUGUAUCUGCACAGUCGUGAUUUCAGGGCUGCAGGAUUAUGUGCUACUUGCUGAAACUGGAAACCUCCGAAAGUCAAUAGGAUUUACGUGGCUGAUUUCAGAAAGGACAGGAUUUUGCCCUCCCUAAAAGCAGACUGUUCAUGUCACAAACAGCUACACCCAUGUUCUUGCAGGAGAACUUCUUACUCACAUGUUUGUGCCAAUUAAAAUUGCAGAAUGGGAAGGCAGUUUUGGGGCAUCUCGUUAGAUUUUCUGUGUCUCAGUGUGGAGAGGUUAAUCCGCUUUCUGAAGGUUUUCAAGGAACUGUGUCCCUGCUUGGACCAGCUUCCUAAGAUGUAGUCACAGUGGCAUUUUAGAAGGAGCCUUCCCUAUUCUUCUAAGGUGUUGGAGUGCAUGAACAUCUCUUACAGUGGUCUUGUUUAAAUCCCCUUGAGCUGACUGGUUUGCAAUUCAAAAAGAGGCAGUAAUAAAGCAUACCCCUGGAAAGUAGUAGCUUUUGCCUCCCCCCUGCCAAAAAGCUCUCAAUUUAUUUUACACAUUGCAGUUAAUUAGAUUUUAUUUCAAUUAAAAAAAAAAAAAAGUUGAUGUGUUCAUUUAAGCAAGAUGUUCAUGUCACUCUUCUUCUACCCCCUUGUGCUGCAUCCACCCAUAUUGUCCAGAAAUAAACUUUUUGAUGCUCAUUU